AUUGAACGCUGGCGGCAUGCCUUACACAUGCAAGUCGAACGGCAGCAUGAUCUAGCUUGCUAGAUUGAUGGCGAGUGGCGAACGGGUGAGUAAUACAUCGGAACGUGCCCUGUAGUGGGGGAUAACUAGUCGAAAGAUUAGCUAAUACCGCAUACGACCUGAGGGUAAAAGUGGGGGACCGCAAGGCCUCAUGCUAUAGGAGCGGCCGAUGUCUGAUUAGCUAGUUGGUGAGGUAAAGGCUCACCAAGGCGACGAUCAGUAGCUGGACUGAGAGGACGAUCAGCCACACUGGGACUGAGACACGGCCCAGACUCCUACGGGAGGCAGCAGUGGGGAAUUUUGGACAAUGGGGGCAACCCUGAUCCAGCAAUGCCGCGUGUGUGAAGAAGGCCUUCGGGUUGUAAAGCACUUUUGUCCGGAAAGAAAUCGCACUUACUAAUAUUAGGUGUGGAUGACGGUACCGGAAGAAUAAGGACCGGCUAACUACGUGCCAGCCGCCGCGGUAAGAC
rnacentral:rRNA from 1 species